rnacentral:rRNA from 1 species
AUUGAACGCUGGCGGCAGGCCUAACACAUGCAAGUCGAGCGAGUGGCGGACGGGUGAGUAAUGUCUGGGAAACUGCCUGAUGGAGGGGGAUAACUACUGGAAACGGUAGCUAAUACCGCAUACCAUCGGAUGUGCACAGAUGGGAUGAGCUAGUAGGGGGGGUAAAGGCUCACCUAGGCGACGAUCCCUAGCGGGUCUGAGAGGAUGACCAGCCACACUGGAACUUGUCCACGGUCCAGACUCCUACGGGAGGCAGCAGUGGGGAAUAUUGCACAAUGGGCGCAAGCCUGAUGCAGCCAUGCCGCGUGUUUGAAGAAGGCCUUCGGUUUUUAAAGUACUUUCAGCGAGGAGGCUUUACUCGCAGAAGAAGCACCGGCUAACUCCGUGCCAGCAGCCGCGGUAAUAC